rnacentral:tRNA from 19 species
GCGCCCGUGGUGUAAUGGAUAGCACGUAAGAUUCCGGUUCUUGAGAUGGGGGUUCGAUUCCCUCCGGGCGCAUCA